rnacentral:tRNA from 1 species
UCCCUCAUAGCUCAGUUGGUAAAGAAUCUGCCUGCAAUGCUGGAGACCUGGGUUCGACUCCUGGCUUGGGAA